UCAACCCCAACCGUGUUCCCCUCUGUCUCUUUUUCUCUCCCUCUAAAAAUAGCCACACACACUCCAAUCUCUUGCCUUCUCUCAAUCUCUCGUUCAUCCCACUCACAGUGACUAUUUCUUUCGCUCUCUCUGGUUUGGAACCAUCGUUCACCGACCUCUCUCUCUCAUUCUCUUUCAGAUGUGGGUGCUAAGGAUCAAUGAUGAAGGGUCCCAAGAAAGGGCUUUGGGACGAUGAUGAAAAGACGCAAUAAGGGGCGAAGCAGAUGCUCCCCAAAGUGCUUUGACCCUUUCUUCUCCCUAGUGCGAACCAGAGGCCUUUCCUCCAUGGGCGAUGGGCAACCGAGUCUGUCCAUUAUGUGAAGUAAGUUUAACGGCGCCAUUCACAAGGGUAUGCCCCACAAGUUCUACCAUGGCCGAACUCGGCGUGUCUGGAACAUCACCAAGCGCGCUAUUGGCGUGGAGGUUAACAAGCAGGUUGGGAACCGCAUCAUUAAGAAGAGGAUUCAUGUUCGUGUGGAGCAUGUCCAGCCCUCUA